UUUUAUAGGAAAUUUCAUAAACAUUUUGUACAAAUCAAGAUUACAAAUAUAGUUUGUAGAAGAUAAUUUAAAAUAGCUUAAAUCAUGGAUGAGAUCGAAUACAAAUUAAAAUCGCAAGAUCCUACUUUGAUAUCACAUGCUAUAUCCAAACUUGUUCAGACAAUUAUAGAAAAAUCAAGCAAGGAAGAGGAUAUUAGAAAUAUACCAGAAUUUCAAACACUCACUUUAAAAUGCAAUAGCGAUGAUCCCAUGGUUAGUACAUCAGCCUGUCAAGCACUGGUUAUACUUGUUAAAGUUGGAUUAUACACUUCCAAGUCUGCAAUAGCAACCUUCCUAAGUGUGUGUUCUUCAAAGAAUUAUGAAUCAGUCACUGUGGCUGUGAGUAAACUGUUAAUAUUAGAUUGUAAAGUGUUGGAUGAUCCUUGUGAAUAUACUCUUCAAGCACCUACUCAGCAUCCAUUCAUCACAAUUCUGAAUCAUGAAAACUAUAGUUGGAGAACAAUGUUGAUUCAGAUGAAGCAGAUUAUGCAACAUAAUGAUCAAAAGCUUAUAAAAUGGCGUAUGCAGCUCUUACGGCCUGUAUUCUUGUACAUACUGUGCAAUCCUUCUACAAAUUUGGACAAUAGUUUCAAACAACAAGCAUGGCAACUCGUGAUUGAGUCCAACGACACAUUGGAUUUACAAGUAGAGAUUCUAUUCUGGCUGUGCACUAAUCAAUCAUACACUUGCAUCGAUACGAAUUGCAGAGUGCUCGAGUUUGCGGAGAGAUCGUUGCUGAAAAGAAACAUCAAAUACUGCACAGCAUUAGUGCCUUUGAUCACAUCUUUGACAAUCAACUUCUUAAAGUACGGUCAUGAGCCGGCGCAAAAUUUUUCUAUGUUACUCGAGCUGAUCAAGCAAUGCUGUGACAACUAUAUAGGAGACAUUAUGAUCAUUUUAAUGGCAGAAAUUAUUUUGAUAUGUCCAGCUAUUCACCUAUCAAAAGUUUUUGACAUAUGCAUAGCUAUCGUGAACAAGAUGCCGUGCAAUGUUGUAUUGCUACACACGUUGGCUGCGGCUUUGCUGAAAUGGCUGGCUUAUCCAUCACUGCUGUGCCAAGACCUAUUACCGGUGGCGAAGGAACUGAUAAAUAAGAUCUUGCAGAACAAGGGGAUGACAAGCCAGCACGUGGUUGGCGACAAUAGUGUGCCAAACAAGUUACUCCUUACGUUCAGCCACAGCAACAGCCACAUCCAAAUCUACAUGGAGCUUAUGCGCAGUCUAUACUCUCUGGACGUAGACGUCGAGUCUUGGUUGAAGAAGUUCUCACUCGCACCGAUCGAUCUCAAAUACACGUGUAAGCUGGUCCUGUGUGGGAUCUUUCUGCACAGCGAGGAACCUCGCGUCGUGCAGGAAUCCUGCCGGAUUCUCGUACAGAUGGUUCACGAGAUCAACGCCUUCGCGUCGCACAUGCUCUCCUUGCUGUUGCACAAACUGACCAAAACCCGCGACAGCGCCACAUCCAAGUGUCUGUUGCUGGCUCUGCCAGAGUUCGUCCCGUUCAAGGAGAACCUGCGAAUUGUCGUUCACACGUUGAACUCGCUGUCGGAGAGCGACGGGUCCCUACGCUACUUCGCGAUCCAGCUGUACGCGAUGGCGUUGGAGAAAGAACCGCGUUGCCAACGUUUCAUGUCCGACGCGCUGAUAGAUCUGGCCAAGGAGACCGGCCGCAACUGGCACUCGGACGUGGCGUGCGCCCGAGCGAUUAAGCACGUUUGCAAGAGUCGACCCGAGCUCUGCACGGACUUUGUGCCGCUGCUAUCUCAGAUCCUGAAUCGCUGCCACGACUUAAACGGCGGUGCGGCCAGUGCGCUCGCGCUCGACAGCAUCUCGUUGCUGUGCGAGGCUGCUGUGAUAGGUAUUUGCUCGACGUGGAAGCUGCUGGCGCCAAAGAUGCGUAAGGAAAAGCGCACGGUAAUAUUGGAGAGUCUGUGCAGCUUUUUCGCGAAUGUUCCCUCCUUCCCUUUCAAGUCGGACAACGACUACGAGAGCUUCUUCGUCGAUGUGGUGCCGCUUCUGUGGAGCUACGUGGUCGGCAGGGACUUGAGGGUUGCGGAAUCGGCACUCAAGGCUUUAAAAUCCUACUCGUUCGCGCGGAUCCCCUUGAACGCCUUGCCGUUGGAGUUUCGCUCGAACGUCACAUUACCUCACGUAUACUACGAGAAGGCAGCCGAUAAAAAUGUCAAUCCCGAGGACUUGCUAAAUUACGUGCCAGGCGCUUGCUGGAUACAGAUGCUGAAAAACGUGAACAAAAGUAUCCUGACGUCGGCCGGGGAUCUCCUCAUUUCCUAUAUCGAGGAAGAACUGGGCACCUACCGGUCGCAAAUUUACAAUUGGUCGCAAGGCGAGCCGUGUAAUUUCAAGUACUUGCCAGAGAGAAGCGUUAUCAGAGCGGUCGGUGAUCACUUGAGACGAAGCAAUCCGUCCGACCUGAACGAGCAGAGGAUCAUCGUGGAGUGUAUGCGCGUGUUUGCUCACAAGUACACGAAGCUAUUGCCGAACGUGAACUGGGACUUUCUGAGCAAAGCUAUGCAGAUCUCGGAGACGGCCAAGGAAUACGGUCUGUCCAUCGCGAGUCGUCACGCGUACAUCUCGCUGUCGGCAAAACUCCUGGUGGAGAAUUGCCUAUCAAAGUAUAGGUCGGCGAAUUUCAGGCCCACGUCGGAUGCGGCUACGUUGUUGUUGAGUGAAAGACAUUUGGCGUUUUACGCGAAUCUGCAUGAACUGUCCCGAGCCUUCCCGCCAACCGACCUGAAGCAUUUCCUCGAGAUCUCUCUCGACCAUGUCGUCAAUAUGUCACUCAACGAUGAGAAGGCAGUUGCUUCGUUUGACCACAUCAUGUCUUCCUACGCCACGACGUUGAACAGCGAUGCGGCACAUUUAGGCAACCGCACGCUGCUCCAUGAUGGAACUGUCGGCCGAGGAGGUGGAACAAAUGACGUCGCCAAGUUGUCUGGAAGGAACGCCGAAGGAGCUGAGGAACGCUGUCAUCGUCAGGAUCGAAUUGGCUACGAGAAAAUUUAGCAAGAUGCCACUCGUUUGGCUGAAUGAAUCUAUCGACGUGGUUGCGUCCACUUAUACGGAGUUACAGGUGUACUUCUUGGAAGGUAUACAGAAGGUGAUGGCUGAAGUAAGGUCGGAAAAGUACUGCGUGGAUUGGGUCUUGGAUUUCAUGAGUCGCAUCGACGCACUCAUACUGGAGUCGCCCGACGAGAAAGAUAAGAUCCUUUUCUACUGCGACACUUUAUUCAUUUCGAUUAUCUGCCUGUCCG
rnacentral:misc_RNA from 1 species